rnacentral:rRNA from 1 species
UACGUAGGUGGCAAGCGUUGUCCGGAUUUACUGGGCGUAAAGAGCGCGCAGGCGGCUGGUCAAGUCCGAUGUGAAAUCUCCCGGCUUAACUGGGAAACUGCAUCGGAAACUGAUCGGCUUGAAGGUGGGAGAGGGUAGUGGAAUUCCCGGUGUAGUGGUGAAAUGCGUAGAUAUCUAUCGGAACGCCGAAGGUGAAGACAGGUCGCUGGGCUUGUACUGACGCUGAGGAACGAAAGCGUGGGGAGCAAACGGG